GUGACCUCGCUGGUAGGAUUUCCAGUUUCCAAACCUGAUGUGAUCUCACUGCUGGAACGAGGGGAAGAGCCGUGGGUCCAAGAUCUCCAGGGCUCUGAGAAAAAAGUGCUCCUGAGAGCUGCCUGCACAGGGAGUGACCUGUGUCUGGAUUCUCUCUGUCUCUCAUCAGGUGAUUGGAUGGUGGGUGAGAAUUAGGAGGAGAAACCCCAACAGGAAGAUGCUGAGAAAGUAGAGCCACAUGGGAUUUUAUCAGGAAGAUCCAAAGGGAAUGUUUCCGGGAGUUGUGCACUCCCAGAAAAAGCCAAAGCCUGUGAGACUCUGCACAGGCCAGAGGAGAACUUCAGUAGCCACUCAGACCUUAUUCCCCGUGAGAGAAUCAACUUG